AUUGAACGCUGGCGGCAUGCUUUACACAUGCAAGUCGAACGGUAACAGGUUAAGCUGACGAGUGGCGAACGGGUGAGUAAUGCAUCGGAACGUGCCCGAUCGUGGGGGAUAACGCAGCGAAAGCUGCGCUAAUACCGCAUACGAUCUGAGGAUGAAAGCGGGGGACCGUAAGGCCUCGCGCGAUCGGAGCGGCCGAUGUCAGAUUAGGUAGUUGGUGGGGUAAAGGCUCACCAAGCCAACGAUCUGUAGCUGGUCUGAGAGGACGACCAGCCACACUGGGACUGAGACACGGCCCAGACUCCUACGGGAGGCAGCAGUGGGGAAUUUUGGACAAUGGGCGAAAGCCUGAUCCAGCAAUGCCGCGUGCAGGAAGAAGGCCUUCGGGUUGUAAACUGCUUUUGUACGGAGCGAAAAGGUCUCCUCUAAUACAGGGGGCUCAUGACGGUACCGUAAGAAUAAGCACCGGCUAACUACAUGCCAGCCGCCGCAGUAA
rnacentral:rRNA from 1 species